rnacentral:tRNA from 2 species
CGGGGCGUAGCGCAGUUGGUAGCGCGCCUGGUUUGGGACCAGGAGGUCGAGAGUUCGAAUCUCUCCGCCCCGA